rnacentral:rRNA from 1 species
AGAAUCAACGCUGGCGGCGUGCCUAACACAUGCAAGUCGAACGAGAAAGUGGAGCAAUCCAUGAGUAAAGUGGCGCACGGGUGAGUAACACGUGACUAACCUACCUUUUAGUGGGGGAUAACCUAGGGAAACCUGGGCUAAUACCGCAUAAUACUUACUAGUCAAAGCAGCAAUGCGCUGAAAGAGGGGGUCGCGGUCGAUUAGUUAGUUGGCAGGGUAAUGGCCUACCAAGACUGUGAUCGAUAUCCGGCCUGAGAGGGCGCACGGACACACUGGAACUGAAACACGGUCCAGACUCCUACGGGAGGCAGCAGUGGGGAAUUUUGCGCAAUGGGGGAAACCCUGACGCAGCAACGCCGCGUGGAGGAUGAAGUCCCUUGGGACGUAAACUCCUUUCGAUCGGGACGAUAAUGACGGUACCGGAAGAAGAAGCCCGGCUAACUUCGUGCCAGCAGCCGC